UACGUAGGGGGCAAGCGUUGUCCGGAUUUAUUGGGCGUAAAGAGCGUGUAGGCGGCCAAACAGGUCCACUGUGAAAACUCGAGGCUCAACCUCGAGACGUCGGUGGAAACCGUCUGGCUAGAGUCCGGAAGAGGAGAGUGGAAUUCCCGGUGUAGCGGUGAAAUGCGCAGAUAUCGGGAAGAACACCCGUGGCGAAGGCGGCUCUCUGGGACGGUACUGACGCUGAGAAGCGAAAGCAUGGGGAGCGAACAGG
rnacentral:rRNA from 1 species